CCUUCCGUUAGUAUGUUAUCCGUUCAGAUUCAACCCUCUCUCUCUCUCUCUCUCUCUCUCUCCACAAACCCUUACCAUCCCAACCUCUUUGACUGCGACUCCUUGAGACCUUCCUCGACUUCUCCGACUCGCCGCCCUUCACCAUCGAUCUCUCCUUCGAGUGGAUCCUCGACUACCGUGACUCCGACACUGAUCAGAUCAAGCUCAUUGAUCGCGCCCUGCAGUUGAGAUCGGUGCUCCUCGAGGCCGGUAAGAUCUCGGCGAGACGACGAGCCUCCAAGCACAACUCCAUCUCCUGGGCUCUCCCUCUCGACCUCACCAUCAAGCUGUACUUUGCCGUUUUCAGUAGCAAAGCAAACUUACACAACUAAUUUUCAUGCUAAUAGAGAUGCAAAAACCAAGACAAAGGCAACGAACACCACAAGUGUUAAGUUGUGGCUCAAAAACUGAAGGAGGCAGAAAUUACCGAGCAAGACUCGCUUCUGGUUCCACUUUCCUCUUCUAGUUGACCUCUCCUCCUCCUCCGGCAACGAUGACCUCAAGAACUGGGAUGCCGACUUCUUCAAGGUCGACCAGGCCACCCUUUUUGAUCUCAUCCGUUUAAGCAGUAGAGGAGUUUAUGAGUGCAAUGGACAAGCAAGGAGGGCAAAAGAGUUAGUAGCAAAUAAGAACAACAUGAGAUACAGACCCCAAUCAUAUAAUCAAGGAUCAUUGAAAUGGAAAUUGGGGACUUCUUAUCAUUCAUUGUUUCAUUGAAAUUUAUUAUAAAAAAUAUUAAGAUUCAAACACGUGUAAUUAUAGAGUAUCUCCUCCUUUUCAAUUCAUAAUCCAAACACUAGAUUGGUGCCUUAGUUCGUCUUUAUA